rnacentral:rRNA from 1 species
GUUGUGGGUAGGGGUGAAAGGCCAAUCAAACUCCGUGAUAGCUGGUUCUCCCCGAAAUGCAUUUAGGUGCAGCGUCGUGUGUUUCUUGCCGGAGGUAGAGCUACUGGUUGGUUGAGCGGGACUAUCAUCUUAGCGACGUCAGCCAAACUCCGAAUGCCGGUAAGUGAGAGCGCGGCAGUGAGACUGCGGGGGAUAAGCUUCGUGGUCGAGAGGGAAACAGCCCAGAUCGCCGGCUAAGGCCCCUAAGGGUGUGCUAAGUGGAAAAGGAUGUGCGGUCGCGAAGACAGCCAGGAGGUUGGCUUAGAAGCAGCCAUCCUUGAGAGAGUGCGUAAUAGCUCACUGGUCGAGUGGCCGUGCGCCGACAAUGUAGUGGGGCUUAAGUACACCGCCGAAGCCGCGGAACUGCACACUGUUGUGUGUGGUUGGUAGGGGAGCGUCGUGUGGCCGGUGAAGGUGCGGGGUGACCCAGUGCUGGAGGCUAUGCGAGUGAGAAUGCAGGCAUGAGUAGCGAUUGAUGAGUGAGAAACUCAUCCGCCGAAUGACUAAGGGUUCCUGGGUCAAGUUUGUCUUCCCAGGGUGAGUCGGGGCCUAAGGCGAGGCCGACAGGCGUAGUCGAUGGUUAACGGGUUGAUAUUCCCGUACCCGAGCAUGUGCGAAAGGAGAUGAGGCGGUGAGACUAACCACCCUGAAGGACUGUCGGUGCAUCUUUGGUGUGCUGGUGGUGUGGAUGCGUGGGACCUGAUCCGUAGUAGUCUAGCGAUGGGGUGACGCAGUGAGGUAGCCGAGCCACUUAUUGGAUUGUGGUGUAAGCGUGUGGCCCGUGUCCCAGGUAAAUCCGGGGCGCAUACAGGGUGAGGCGUGAUGCGUACCCUUUUGUGGGGAUGUCGGUGAUCCUGUGCUGUCGAGAAAAGCCUCUAGCGAGUGCGUGUUCGGCCCGUACCCUAAACCGACACAGGUGGUCUGGUAGAGUAUACCGAGGCGUUCGGGUGAACUGUGGUUAAGGAAUUCGGCAAAAUGCCCCCGUAACUUCGGGAGAAGGGGGGCCCGUGCUGGUCGCAGCCUUUUGCGGGUUGUUGGCUGGUGUGGGUCGCAGAGAAUAGAGGGAAGCGACUGUUUACUAAAAACACAGGUCCGUGCGAAGACGGUAAGUCGAUGUAUACGGACUGACGCCUGCCCGGUGCUGGAAGGUUAAGAGGACCUGUUAGGGCUUUGGCCCGAAGCGGAGAAUUUAAGCCCCAGUAAACGGCGGUGGUAACUAUAACCAUCCUAAGGUAGCGAAAUUCCUUGUCGGGUAAGUUCCGACCUGCACGAAUGGCGUAACGACUUCCCUGCUGUCUCAACCACAGGCCCGGCGAAAUUGCAGUACGAGUAAAGAUGCUCGUUACGCGCGGCAGGACGAAAAGACCCCGGGACCUUCACUAUAGCUUGGUAUUGG